AGUCGAACGGUAACAGGGAUUAGCUUGCUAAUUUGCUGACGAGUGGCGGACGGGUGAGUAAUGCUUGGGAAUCUAGCUUAUGGAGGGGGAUAACUACGGGAAACUGUAGCUAAUACCGCGUAAAAUCUUCGGAUUAAAGGGUGGGACUUUCGGGCCACCUGCCAUAAGAUGAGCCCAAGUGGGAUUAGGUAGUUGGUUAGGUAAAGGCUGACCAAGCCGACGAUCUCUAGCUGGUCUGAGAGGAUGACCAGCCACACUGGAACUGAGACACGGUCCAGACUCCUACGGGAGGCAGCAGUGGGGAAUAUUGCACAAUGGGGGGAACCCUGAUGCAGCCAUGCCGCGUGAAUGAAGAAGGCCUUCGGGUUGUAAAGUUCUUUCGGUGACGAGGAAGGUUGAUAGGUUAAUGGCCUAUCAAAUUGACGUUAAUCACAGAAGAAGCACCGGCUAACUCCGUGCCAGCAGCCGCGGUAAUACGGGGGGUGCGAGCGUUAAUCGGAAUAACUGGGCGUAAAGGGCACGCAGGCGGUGACUUAAGUGAGAUGUGAAAGCCCCGGGCUUAACCUGGGAAUUGCAUUUCAUACUGGGUCGCUAGAGUACUUUAGGGAGGGGUAGAAUUCCACGUGUAGCGGUGAAAUGCGUAGAGAUGUGGAGGAAUACUGAAGGCGAAGGCAGCCCCUUGGGAAUGUACUGACGCUCAUGUGCGAAAGCGUGGGGAGCAAACA
rnacentral:rRNA from 1 species